UACAGAGGGGGCAAGCGUUAUUCGGAAUUAUUGGGCGUAAAGGGCGCGUAGGCGGCUUGGCAAGUGGAAGGUGAAAUCCCUCGGCUUAACCGAGGAACUGCCCUCCAAACUGCUUCGCUUGAGACCGGGAGAGGUGAGUGGAAUUCCCAGUGUAGCGGUGAAAUGCGUAGAUAUUGGGAGGAACACCAGUGGCGAAGGCGGCUCACUGGACCGGUACUGACGCUGAUGCGCGAAAGCGUGGGGAACAAACGGG
rnacentral:rRNA from 1 species